rnacentral:rRNA from 1 species
CACUGCCGAGAAAAGCCUCUAGAUAGAAAAUAGGUGCCCGUACCGCAAACCGACACAGGUAGUCAAGAUGAGAAUUCUAAGGUGAGCGAGCGAACUCUCGUUAAGGAACUCGGCAAAAUGACCCCGUAACUUCGGGAGAAGGGGUGCUCUUUAGGGUUAACGCCCAGAAGAGCCGCAGUGAAUAGGCCCAAGCGACUGUUUAUCAAAAACACAGGUCUCUGCUAAACCGUAAGGUGAUGUAUAGGGGCUGACGCCUGCCCGG